UGGUACCACAUGCAUUAGUAAUGUCUAGGAUUGACAUUCAUGAAGUUGAAGCAUCAGAGUUGCAUUAGGUUAUAUGUGUGCAUUACUUGAUAAGUGAUAUAUGACAUAUAAUUUGGCUAAGUGUGAUGAAUUGUAGAUUGAUUAUUUGGUACUUGAUUAUACAUGUUUAGAACUUGUAAUUGAGUAGUUAAUGGUGAUGCAUGUUUAUAAAUUAUGAAUAUGCUUGUUGUUGUUGAAGGAGUGUUUAAGUAC
rnacentral:lncRNA from 1 species